CAGCCGCCGCGGUAAUACGUAGGUGGCAAGUGUUGUCCGGAAUUAUUGGGCGUAAAGGGCUCGCAGGCGGUUUCUUAAGUCUGAUGUGAAAGCCCCCGGCUCAACCGGGGAGGGUCAUUGGAAACUGGGAAACUUGAGUGCAGAAGAGGAGAGUGGAAUUCCACGUGUAGCGGUGAAAUGCGUAGAGAUGUGGAGGAACACCAGUGGCGAAGGCGACUCUCUGGUCUGUAACUGACGCUGAGGAGCGAAAGCGUGGGGAGCGAACAGGACUAGAUACCCGGGUAGUCCCUGUCUCUUAUAU
rnacentral:rRNA from 1 species